rnacentral:rRNA from 1 species
GAUGAACGCUAGCUACAGGCUUAACACAUGCAAGUCGAGGGGAAACGGCAUUAAGUGCUUGCACUUUUCGGACGUCGACCGGCGCACGGGUGAGUAACGCGUAUCCAACCUUCCCAUGACUAAGGGAUAACCUGCCGAAAGGCAGACUAAUACCUUAUGGUCUUCACUGACGGCAUCAGAUGUGAAGUAAAGAUUUAUCGGUCAUGGAUGGGGAUGCGUCUGAUUAGCUUGUUGGCGGGGUAACGGCCCACCAAGGCAACGAUCAGUAGGGGUUCUGAGAGGAAGGUCCCCCACAUUGGAACUGAGACACGGUCCAAACUCCUACGGGAGGCAGCAGUGAGGAAUAUUGGUCAAUGGGCGAGAGCCUGAACCAGCCAAGUAGCGUGCAGGAUGACGGCCCUAUGGGUUGUAAACUGCUUUUGUAUGGGGAUAAAGUCAAUCACGUGUGAUUGUUUGCAGGUACCAUACGAAUAAGGACCGGCUAAUUCCGUGCC